rnacentral:rRNA from 1 species
UACAGAGGGUGCAAGCGUUGUUCGGAAUUAUUGGGCGUAAAGAGCUUGUAGGCGGUUUGUCGCGUCUGCUGUGAAAUUUCGGGGCUCAACCCCGAACUUGCAGUGGGUACGGGCAGACUAGAGUGUGGUAGGGGAGACUGGAAUUCCUGGUGUAGCGGUGAAAUGCGCAGAUAUCAGGAGGAACACCGGUGGCGAAGGCGGGUCUCUGGGCCGAUACUGACGCUGAGGAGCGAAAGCGUGGGGAGCGAACAGG